GACGAACGCUGGCGGCGUGCUUAACACAUGCAAGUCGAACGGAAAGGCCCUGCUUUUGUGGGGUGCUCGAGUGGCGAACGGGUGAGUAACACGUGAGUAACCUGCCCUUGACUUUGGGAUAACUUCAGGAAACUGGGGCUAAUACCGGAUAGGAGCUCCUGCUGCAUGGUGGGGGUUGGAAAGUUUCGGCGGUUGGGGAUGGACUCGCGGCUUAUCAGCUUGUUGGUGGGGUAGUGGCUUACCAAGGCUUUGACGGGUAGCCGGCCUGAGAGGGUGACCGGCCACAUUGGGACUGAGAUACGGGCCAGAAUCCUACGGGAGGCAGCAGUGGGGAAUAUUGCACAAUGGGCGGAAGCCUGAUGCAGCAACGCCGCGUGCGGGAUGACGGCCUUCGGGUUGUAAACCGCUUUCGCCUGUGACGAAGCGUGAGUGACGGUAAUGGGUAAAGAAGCACCGGCUAACUACGUG
rnacentral:rRNA from 1 species